rnacentral:rRNA from 1 species
GAUGAACGCUAGCGGCAGGCCUAACACAUGCAAGUCGAGGGGCAGCACAGAAACAGCAAUGUUUUGGUGGCGACCGGCGGACGGGUGCGUAACGCGUAUGCAACCUACCUUUAACAGGGGGAUAACGGAGAGAAAUUUCCACUAAUACCCCAUAACAUCGAUCAAGGCAUCUUGAUUGGUUGAAAACUCCGGUGGUUAAAGAUGGGCAUGCGUCGUAUUAGGUAGUUGGUGAGGUAAUGGCUCACCAAGCCUACGAUACAUAGGGGGACUGGAAGGUUAGCCCCCCACACUGGUACUGAGACACGGACCAGACUCCUACGGGAGGCAGCAGUGAGGAAUAUUGGUCAAUGGGGGCAACCCUGAACCAGCCAUGCCGCGUGCAGGAAGACGGCUCUAUGAGUUGUAAACUGCUUUUAAACAGGGAUAAAGCACAGUAUGUAUACUGUGUUGAAGGUACUGUAAGAAUAAGGAUCGGCUAACUCCGUGCCAGCAGCCGCCGUAA